AUUGUGAUGCAAGCCAGAGCUCACAGCUCAGGCCUCGAGCCCUGAGACUAUCACAGUCAUUAGCAGGUCCGUGCUCCAGGCUGUCAGAACUGUCACCCUGUGUAAGAAGAGGGACAUGGUACAGGCAGGGCUCUCCUAAUAUCGGGAAAAUGGCUGUCUGUGAAACCUUGCUGCAAGACUUGACCUUAGGGCCCCUUCAGGCCUUCUCUGUAGUCAGUCCUGCUGGAGUAGGAGGCAUUUUGAGACUUUGAGGUGUUCACUGGAAACUGCUCUUCUGACUUUAUUCCUGGAAGAGUUGUGCAAGAAUAAGACCCACGGAGAUUGAACUAUAGUUUGGUGAAGUAGCGGGACACUAUCCACCCCUCAACAGAUUGUAUCUUCACCCCUAUCUGACCUCAUUGCUGCUCUCACUCUCUGUCCCAGAAUAAAAUUCCAAGAUGUUGGAGGAGUGCCCCCUCACAAUGUGAAGCCCUCGCUCAACGGGGAACCAAAUUCGAGUGCUUGACGUUUCUUCAGGCUGGUUCAUGUCUGCCCACUGGUAGAGUCAUGGAACUAUCCCGGGAAUCCCACAGACAAGACAGUUGAGUCCACGGCCAACACACCACAUCUUUACAGAGGUCUCCUUCACCAAACCACAGGGACUUGUCGCCAGGCAAUGGUGACAUUCAUUGUGAUGCUACUCAGAUCUCACAAUCUGGCCUGGCCCACUGAGACUAGUGCAUGCACAUUGCUGAGGUAGGCUCAGGCUCCCAGCCAGCAGAGUUGUCAACCUGCCUAAACAGAGAAAAAUGCUACAGGCAGAGCCAGCCUGACUCCAUUCCUGAAAAAGAAUGUGGGUGUGCAAGAAUCAAUUCCAUGGGGAUGGAAAUAUAAUCUGGUGUGUUGUUGAAGUUUAUUUGGGUAAUAGAAUUAUACCUGAGACCCUAAAGGAUGAUGUCAGUGAAAGAUAGUCAUGCUCUUGCCAUCACUGCCUCCUUUCAUCCUGAACCAUGCAGGAUCUCUCUGGGAAAGACAGGAAUCACGACAAAGGCAAGUCCAAGGUGGAGCAGUAUUCUCACACCUCAGACUUGCUUUUCACGGUUCAAAUGAGUGUGAGAGAAUGUCUCAGAGGCCAUGUGUGGUGAGAGGAAGCCUGAAAAUGGUACUCAGUAGUGCUAUUGAGGGGCACUGUGGAUUUUGCAUGAAAGCAAAGAGAAAUCAGUACUCACCUGAGGGAAUGAGCUGCCUUGUGCUGAAGUCCAAGCAGUGUUCAAUGAUACCUGUAAGAGGACCCAAAAUCUUCCUGCAAAAUGCAAACAGCCUCAGCCCCCAGAAUGACACUAUGACCCACAACUUGAAACCCAGCCAGCCUACCUGAAAUCCAGUUUGCUCUCUGAAAUACCUGGCAGCUAAAUAAUCUUUGGGGAGAAGAAGUCCUAUUCAGCAACAGCCUAAUGAAAGAGCCCCUCCACAAUGAGAAGGCUGAGCAGAUGAAAUGAAACAGAGGCUAGAUUACCAGCAAAAGCCAGGCACGGCUGCCUGCUUCUCAUCCUUCAUGAAUCAAGCAGUCCUUGAUAGAGGUGGGAGAACAAGUGUUUUUUUGUUGGCAACUGUGAUGGGAAUUUGUGGCUUUAAAUGUAUCAAAGCUGACCACUCAUUAAAACCUGAAAGUGUUCAGAAGGAAACACUCAUGCAAUGGAUCCCCAUGAGGGUUGUUCUCUGUGGGCUGAGAAAUAUUUAGUAUGGAAGUCCUUGAGCCAAGCCCAGAAAACCCUAGGCUGCCAAGGAAUAUGGAAUUCAGGAAAAGAAGAGCGAAAUCUGGUGUACACAUCUCACUCAGCAUCCAUCGAUUUCACUCCCAUUUGGCUCCGGGUAUGAAAGCCCCAAAUUUGGGAAUUUGCCAAGAUGGCCCAAAUUUGCACUCCAAAAGUUUCAUGCACAUUGGAGUACUCUCACCUGAACACCAGGCCAUGGUGUGGACUGCAUGUGCAAUUAAGAAAAUGUGGGGAUGGCUGGGUGUGGUGGCUCACACCUGUAAUCCCAGCACUUCGGGAGGCUGAUGCAGGCAGAUCAUGAGGUCAGGAGAUGGAGACCAUCCUGGCUAACAGGAUGAAACCCAUUUCUACU